rnacentral:rRNA from 1 species
GACGAACGCUGGCGGCGUGCUUAACACAUGCAAGUCGAACGGAAAGGCCCUGCUUUUGUGGGGUGCUCGAGUGGCGAACGGGUGAGUAACACGUGAGUAACCUGCCCUUGACUUUGGGAUAACUUCAGGAAACUGGGGCUAAUACCGGAUAGGAGCUCCUGCUGCAUGGUGGGGGUUGGAAAGUUUCGGCGGUUGGGGAUGGACUCGCGGCUUAUCAGCUUGUUGGUGGGGUAGUGGCUUACCAAGGCUUUGACGGGUAGCCGGCCUGAGAGGGUGACCGGCCACAUUGGGACUGAGAUACGGCCCAGACUCCUACAGGAGGCAGCAGUGGGGAAUAUUGCACAAUGGGCGGAAGCCUGAUGCAGCAACGCCGCGUGCGGGAUGACGGCCUUCGGGUUGUAAACCGCUUUCGCCUGUGACGAAGCGUGAGUGACGGUAAUGUGUAAAGAAGCACCGGCUAACUACGUG